rnacentral:rRNA from 1 species
CCUACGGGUGGCAGCAGUGGGGAAUAUUGGACAAUGGGGGGAACCCUGAUCCAGCCAUGCCGCGUGUGUGAAGAAGGCCCUCGGGUUGGAAAGCACUUUCAGUGAGGAAGAACGCCUGGUGGUUAAUACCCAUCAGGAAAGACAUCACUCACAGAAGAAGCACCGGCUAACUCCGUGCCAGCAGCCGCGGUAAUACGGAGGGUGCGAGCGUUAAUCGGAAUUACUGGGCGUAAAGCGCGCGUAGGUGGCUUGAUAAGCCGGUUGUGAAAGCCCCGGGCUCAACCUGGGAACGGCAUCCGGAACUGUCAAGCUAGAGUGCAGGAGAGGAAGGUAGAAUUCCCGGUGUAGCGGUGAAAUGCGUAGAGAUCGGGAGGAAUACCAGUGGCGAAGGCGGCCUUCUGGACUGACACUGACACUGAGGUGCGAAAGCGUGGGUAGCAAACAGGAUUAGAUACCCUAGUAGUC